rnacentral:rRNA from 1 species
CUGACUGCUAUCGGAUUGAUACUAAGCCAUGCGAGUCAUUGUAGCAAUACAAGGCAGACGGCUCAGUAACGCGUAGUCAAUCUACCCUAUGGACGGGAAUAACCUCGGGAAACUGAGAAUAAUGCCCGAUAGAACAUUAUGCCUGGAAUGGUUUAUGUUUCAAAUGAUUUAUCGCCAUAGGAUGGGACUGCGGCCUAUCAGUUUGUUGGUGAGGUAAUGGCCCACCAAGACUAUUACAGGUACGGGCUCUGAGAGGAGUGGCCCGGAGAUGGGUACUGAGACACGGACCCAGGCCCUAUGGGGCGCAGCAGGCGAGAAAACUUUGCAAUGUGCGAAAGCACGACAAGGUUAAUCCGAGUGGUUUCUGCUAAAGAAACCUUUUGUCAGUCCUAGAAACACUAACGAAUAAGGGGUGGGCAAGUUCUGGUGUCAGCCGCCGCGGUAAAACCAGCACCUCAAGUGGUCAGGAUGAUUAUUGGGCCUAAAGCAUCCGUAGCCCGUUUUGUAAGUUUUCGGUUAAAUCCAUGCGCUUAACGUAUGGGCUGCCGGGAAUACUGCAUAACUAGGAAGUGGGAGAGGUAGACGGUACUCGGUAGGAAGGGGUAAAAUCCUUUGAUCUAUUGAUGACCACCUGUGGCGAAGGCGGUCUACCAGAACACGUUCGACGGUGAGGGAUGAAAGCUGGGGGAGCAAACCGGAUUAGAUACCCGGGUAGUCCCAGCUGUAAACUAUGCAAACUCAGUGAUGCAUUGGCUUGUGGCCAAUGCAGUGCUGCAGGGAAGCCGUUAAGUUUGCCGCCUGGGAAGUACGUACGCAAGUAUGAAACUUAAAGGAAUCGGCGGGGGAGCACCACAAGGGGUGAAGCCUGCGGUUCAAUUGGAUCAACGCC